UGAAAACAUGGUUGCCGAAGUUUCUACCGUUUCAAGUUGUUUGUUUAUGAGCCAAGACUGAAGAUAUACAAGCUAAUGUUGCCUCUGCUACCAUGUGGCAACGCAACCAUGAAGGGCUUGACGUGUUGGCUGUCAAGAAGCACUAGGUCGACGGCAGGCAAGGCAUCCAGGAAGCCACAGCA